rnacentral:rRNA from 1 species
AUCGAUGAAGAACGCAGCGAAAUGCGAUAAGUAAUGUGAAUUGCAGAAUUCAGUGAAUCAUCGAAUCUUUGAACGCACAUUGCGCCCCUUGGUAUUCCGAGGGGCAUGCCUAUUCGAGCGUCAUUAUCACCCCUCAAGCCUCGCUUGGUGUUGGGGCCUGCCGUCAAGGCAGCCCUUAAAAUCAGUGGCAGUGCUGUCAGGCUCUAAGCGUAGUAAACACGUCGCUAUGGAGUCCUGGGAGCGCUCGCCANUCACCNCCCCACUCUUAUAAUGAUUGACCUCGGAUUAGGUAGGGAUACCCGCUGAACUUAAGCAUAUCAAUAAGCGGAGGAAAAGAAACCAACAGGGAUUGCCUCAGUAACGGCGAGUGAAGCGGCAAAAGCUCAAAUUUGAAAUCUGGCUCUUUCAGGGUCCGAGUUGUAAUUUGUAGAAGAUGUUUCGGGUGUGGCUCCGGUUUAAGUUCUUUGGAAUAUUACAUCAUAGAGGGUGAGAAUCCCGUAUGUGACCGGCAGCUUUCGCCCAUGUGAAACUCUUUCGACGAGUCGAGUUGUUUGGGAAUGCAGCUCAAAAUGGGUGGUAUAUUUCAUCUAAAGCUAAAUACUGGCCAGAGACCGAUAGCGCACAAGUAGAGUGAUCGAAAGAUGAAAAGCACUUUGGAAAGAGAGUUAAACAGUACGUGAAAUUGUUGAAAGGGAAGCGCUUGCAACCAGACUUGCACGCAGUUGAUCAUCCGGUGUUCUCACCGGGGCACUCUGCUGCGUUCAGGCCAGCAUCGGUUUCGGUGGUUGGAUAAAGGCCUUGGGAAUGUGGCUCCUCUCGGGGAGUGUUAUAGCCCUCGGUGCAAUGCAGCCUACCGGGACCGAGGACCGCGCUUCGGCUAGGAUGCUGGCGUAAUGGUUGUAAGCGGCCCGUCUUGAAACACGG